rnacentral:rRNA from 1 species
UACGUAGGGUGCGAGCGUUGUCCGGAAUUAUUGGGCGUAAAGGGCGUGUAGGCGGCUUCGUGUGUCCCAUGUGAAAGCCCUCGGCUCAACCGGGGAACUGCAUGGGAAACUGCGGAGCUUGAGUCCGGGAGAGGUGAGUGGAAUUCCCAGUGUAGCGGUGAAAUGCGUAGAUAUUGGGAGGAACACCGGUGGCGAAGGCGGCUCACUGGACCGGUACUGACGCUGAGACGCGAAAGCCAGGGGAGCAAACGGG